AUCCUUUUGUAGUUUAUGAGCAAGAUGAUUGAGUGUUCACACACGGGUGUGAGAUGUGCCACCCUCAAACCUUGUUACGACUUCGGCUUAUUACCCAACUAACC
rnacentral:snoRNA from 2 species